UGUCGAUGACGUCUAUGUCAAAAAUAAAAAGAUGAUUGUUUAUUUGUUUCGAAGAAAGUUAUUUUUAACUUUGGUCGACUAAAAAAGUCUCAUUUUCACUCUCACUCAACUCAUUUUCAAGUUUUUUAACCUUUUUUCUAUUGAUUCCCUGUGACAACAACCUAAACCUUCUAUGAAAUUUUCGAGGAUAUCCAGAAAUUAAAGAAUUUAACUCAAGAUGGAGCAUGCUUUUGUUUCUAGCGAUGGGGAGCCAGACAGGCACACCAAACUUCUGCUGACACUCAAUAUUUUCGGAGUCAUUGUUUGCUGCUUCCUCAUAGUGUUCAUGAGCUUAUGGGCCUUAAACAUAAUUUUUCCAGAACCGAACACGGCAUAUCUAAUGAGAAAUUAUUUAGAUAAUUUAUCAAAACCUUAUAAGAAUGAAACUAUUAGAAUUAAAAGUCGUUAUGAUGUAUUUAGUAAUUUGUUAUAAAAUUAAUGUGUCCGCUGAA